rnacentral:rRNA from 1 species
CCUACGGGUAGCUGCAGUAGGGAAUCUUUCACAAUGGGCGAAAGCCUGAUGGCGCAACGCCGCGUGCAGGAUGAAGGCCUUCGGGUUGUACACUGCUUUUAUAAGCGAGAAAUAUGAUGGUAACUUAUGAAUAAGGAUCGGCUAACUACGUGCCAGCAGCCGCGGUCAUACGUAGGAUCCGAGCAUUAUCCGGAGUGACUGGGUGUAAAGAGUUGCGUAGGUGGCAUAAUAAGUAGCUAGUGAAAUCUGGUGGCUCAACCAUUCAGACUAUUAGCUAAACUGUUAAGCUCGAGACCGUUAGGGGUAACUGGAAUUUCUAGUGUAGGAGUGAAAUCCGUAGAUAUUAGAAGGAACACCAAUAGCGUAGGCAGGUUGCUGGGACGGUUCUGACACUAAGGCACGAAAGCGUAGGGAGCAAACGGGAUUAGAUACCCCAGUAGUC